rnacentral:rRNA from 1 species
GUGGGGAAUCUUCCGCAAUGGACGAAAGUCUGACGGAGCAACGCCGCGUGAGUGAAGAAGGUUUUCGGAUCGUAAAGCUCUUUCGUUAGGGACGAACGUGCUCUUUGUGAAUAAUGAGGAGUAAUGACGGUACCUAAAUAAGAAGCCACGGCUAACUACGUGCCAGCAGCCGCGGUAAUACGUAGGUGGCAAGCGUUGUCCGGAAUUAUUGGGCGUAAAGCGCGCGCAGGCGGGAUAUCAAGUCUGUCUUAAAAGUGCGAGGCUCAACCUCGUGAGGGGACAGAAACUGGUAUUCUUGAGUGUCGGAGAGGAAAGUGGAAUUCCAAGUGUAGCGGUGAAAUGCGUAGAGAUUUGGAAGAACACCAGUGGCGAAGGCGACUUUCUGGACGAUGUCUGACGCUGAGGCGCGAAAGCUAGGGGAGCGAACGGGAUUAGAAACCCUUGUAGUCCC